CCUUGUUUUAUACCACGGUGAAGACUGUAGGUUUCUGAGAUCCAGCCGUUAUUAGACAGGCAUCCUUUAGUAUCAUUGUAUAACGUUUUAACCCAUUUUAAGAAGGAGUGUGGUAUUCCAAAUUUUAGUAGAGAUUCAUACAUGAAGGGCCAUUCUAAAGAAUCAAAGGCUUUGGAAAAGUCUAUGAACAAUAAAACCCCAUCUAUAUUAAAUUUUUCUGAGUAGUCUAUAAUAUCUUGAAUCUGGCGAAUGUUAAAACCUAUGUACCGAUUUUUUAUAUAUCCAUUCUGAUCGCUAUGAAUAAUUUUGGACAACACCAUCUUUAAUCUUUGCGCUAAGGCAUAGGCCAUAAGCUUAGUGUCUACAUUUAAUAAAGUGAUUGGCCUGUAGUUAUCUAAUGAUAAUGGAUCAUUUUUUUUAUAUAAUAAGGAGAUAACACCUAUUUUUUGGAGAGUUGUCAUUUCUUCUUUUUCAUAACAUGUAUUAAAUACUUUCACUGCAGAUUCUUUUAGGUAUGACCAAAAUGUUCGAUAAAAUUCUACACUGAGACCAUCUAGUCCAGGGGAUUUAUUUAGUUUCAUGUUAAAUAUAGCAUUUGUACAUUCUUCUAAUGUUAGGUUGCCCCCCAAUAGUUCACUGUCACUAUUGGAUAGUGAGUGAUCUAUCUUUGUUUGACUAAUAUAAUUUUUUAUUUCUGAAGGGUCCGGUUUAGUACUUUUAUACAAAUUUUGGUAGUAAUUUUUCCCUAGAAUAAGAAUAUCCGACGCGUCUGUAACAAUAUUACCAUGGUCAUUUCUAAGGGCGGAAAUGGUUUUCUUGGUUUGUCUUGAUUUUUCAAGACCCAAAAAAUAUUUUGUGUUUUUUUCCCUUCCUUCUGCCCAUCUGACUCGGGAUCUAAUUUGUGCACCUCUAGUUUCUUUUACAUAUAAAUUUUGUAAAUUGUUUUCUACAUUAUUUAUUUCUUUUUUAAGAUGUUGAGAAUUACUUGAUUUUUCAUUUAAGAAUUUUAACUUAUUUUCUAAAUGUUUAAUUUCAUUUUUACUUUCAGCAGCCUUUUGUUUGCAGUAUGCAAUGGUUACCUCCCUUACUUCAGUUUUGAAAAUGUCCCAAGUAACUCGAGGAUCAUUAUUUUUGGUGAGUAUUUUUUCUUGAUGAGUAUCAAUUAGUUUAAUUAUUAUUUCUUUGUAUUUUGUAUCAUUCAGUAUGCUGUUAUUUAUCUUAAAGAAUCCUUUGCCUUUAUUUUGAGCUUUAAGUCUUAUUUGUACAGAGAUUGCUUGAUGAUCUGUAUGUGAUAUUAGUGCAGGUCUUAUGUCUGCUGAUAUUAUGUGAGGUCUUAUAUCUGGGCUUAUUAGAAAGAAAUCAAUUCUGCUUGCAACACUUCUAUUGUUUUUUCUUCUCCAUGUAAAUUGACUGCUGUUUUGAUUUAGUUCUCUCCAAAUAUCAAUAAGUUUAUAUUUUUUUAUAAGUUGCUUUAAACUGUUAACAGGUUUAUUUUGAUUAUUAGGGCU
rnacentral:lncRNA from 1 species